GAUGAACGCUGGCGGCGUGCCUAAUACAUGCAAGUCGAGCGAACAGACGAGGAGCUUGCUCCUCUGACGUUAGCGGCGGACGGGUGAGUAACACGUGGAUAACCUACCUAUAAGACUGGGAUAACUUCGGGAAACCGGAGCUAAUACCGGAUAAUAUAUUGAACCGCAUGGUUCAAUAGUUAAAGACGGUUUUGCUGUCACUUAUAGAUGGAUCCGCGCCGCAUUAGCUAGUUGGUAAGGUAACGGCUUACCAAGGCAACGAUGCGUAGCCGACCUGAGAGGGUGAUCGGCCACACUGGAACUGAGACACGGUCCAGACUCCUACGGGAGGCAGCAGUAGGGAAUCUUCCGCAAUGGGCGAAUGCUUGACGGAGCAACGCCGCGUGAGUGAUGAAGGUCUUCGGAUCGUAAAACUCUGUUAUUAGGGAAGAACAAAUGUGUAAGUAACUAUGCACGUCUUGACGGUACCUAAUCAGAAAGCCACGGCUAACUACGUG
rnacentral:rRNA from 1 species